rnacentral:tRNA from 1 species
UCCCUGGUGGCUCAGAUGGUAAAGCAUCUGCCUGCAAACCGGGAGACUUAGGUUCAAUCCCUGGGUUGGGAA